GGCCCAGGAUGAACGCUAGCGACAGGCCUAACACAUGCAAGUCAGGGGCAGCACAAGGAGCAAUCUGAGGUGGCGACCGGCGACACGGGUGAGUAACACGUAUGCAACCUGCCUGUAAGCGGGGAAUAACCCGUUGAAAGACGGACUAAUACCGCAUAAUACUAAAUUACUGCAUGGUAAUUUAUUUAAACAUUUAUGGCUUACAGAUGGGCAUGCGCAUGAUUAGCUAGUUGGAGAGGUAACGGCUCCCCAAGGCAACGAUCAUUAGGGGUUCUGAGAGGAAGGUCCCCCCACACUGGUACUGAGACACGGACCAGACUCCUACGGGAGGCAGCAGUGAGGAAUAUUGGUCAAUGGACGAGAGUCUGAACCAGCCAAGUCGCGUGCAGGAAGAAUGUCCUAUGGAUUGUAAACUGCUUUUGCAGGGGAAUAAAGUGCAUCACGUGUGAUGUUUUGUAUGUACUCUGCGAAUAAGGAUCGGCUAACUCCGUGCCAGCCGCGGC
rnacentral:rRNA from 1 species